rnacentral:pre_miRNA from 2 species
UUAUGAUAUCAUGGUCAUUGCUGACCGCUCAUACAAUCCCUGCAAUUGCUUUGUAGUUUAUGCUGAAAUUGUACGACGGUCAGCAAAGACCUUUGAUAUCAAAUA